rnacentral:rRNA from 1 species
AACGACUGCUAAGACUGGAUAGGAAAAGUAAAGGCAUCUUUACUUUUUUAAAAGAUCUUCUUUGAAGGUAUGCUUAAGGAGGGGCUUGCGACACAUUAGUUAGUUGGCAGGGUAAAGGCCUACCAAGACUAUGAUGUGUAGCUGGACUGAGAGGUUGAACAGCCACAUUGGGACUGAGACACGGCCCAAACUCCUACGGGAGGCAGCAGUAGGGAAUUUUCGGCAAUGGAGGAAACUCUGACCGAGCAACGCCGCGUGAACGAUGAAGUACCUCGGUAUGUAAAGUUCUUUUAUUAAGGAAGAAAAAAGAGUGGAAAAACUCCCUUGACGGUACUUAAUGAAUAAGCCCCGGCUAAUUAUGUGCCAGCAGCCGCGGUAAUACAUAAGGGGCGAGCGUUAUCCGGAAUUAUUGGGCGUAAAGGGUGCGUAGGCGGUUUAAUAAGUCUAUAGUUUAAUUUCAGUGCUUAACGCUGUUGUGCUAUAGAAACUGUUUUACUAGAGUGAGAUAGAGGCAAGCGGAAUUCCAUGUGUAGCGGUAAAAUGCGUAAAUAUAUGGAGGAACACCAGAGGCGUAGGCGGCUUGCUGGGUCUUUACUGACGCUGAGGCACGAAAGCGUGGGGAGCAAACAGGAUUAGAUACCCUGGUAGUCCACGCUGUAAACGAUGAGUACUAAGUGUCGGGUAAAACUGGUACUGAAGUUAACACAUUAAGUACUCCGCCUGAGUAGUACGUACGCAAGUAUGAAACUUAAAGGAAUUGACGGGACUCCGCACAAGCGGUGGAUCAUGUUGUUUAAUUCGAAGAUACACGAAAAACCUUACCAGGUCUUGACAUUUUCUUGCGAAGUUAUAGAAAUAUAAUGGAGGUUAUCAGGAAAACAGGUGGUGCAUGGUUGUCGUCAGCUCGUGUCGUGAGAUGUUAGGUUAAGUCCUAAAACGAGCGCAACCCUUGUCGUUAAUUGCCAGCAUGUAAUGAUGGGGACUUUAACGAGACUGCCAAUGAAAAAUUGGAGGAAGGUGGGGAUUACGUCAAAUCAUCAUGCCCCUUAUGAUCUGGGCUACAAACGUGAUACAAUGGUUGAUACAAAGAGUAGCUGAAACGCGAGUUCUUAGCCAAUCUCAAAAAAUCAAUCUCAGUUCGGAUUGAAGUCUGCAACUCGACUUCAUGAAGUUGGAAUCGCUAGUAAUCGCGAAUCAGCAUGUCGCGGUGAAUACGUUCACGGGGUUUGUACACACCGCCCGU